rnacentral:lncRNA from 1 species
CUCAAAUUUCAAAUCAAUUGGACUUCGUUUGGUGUGUCAAAUGAUGGUGUAAACUAGGUAACGUAGGGUGCCUUGACAUGCCGUGACCUAGCCAUGUGCCUACGUGUUGCAAAAUGGAUUUGAUGUUUGACAUGUCCUUUCAUGUGUAUGUGCAUCUGGUAAUAUGCAAACUUCUAAGAAACAUGCUCAAGAACGUAUAAGGAAUGCAAAAUAACAACAUACACACAAGUUGAGCUCAAAACAUCCAAAUUGUGUCAAGUGACCCAUGAUCAAGUGCGCACUUUCACCCCCGGAUAUCAUCGAGAAAAAUCGAAUUUUUCUUGAGCAACCUCUGAGCAUAUGAAAGUAUGUAAUGUGGAGUGGCACAUAUUCAAAUUUCAUGCCCAUUUGAUGUCAUACGGGUACUUAACUCAAAGGAAGAAGUGAGUGCUGUGAAGUGACGUGAACCUAACAUGGGUGCCUACAUGUGCGUGGUUAGUGAGUGAGUGCUUCCAGCUAAAUUUCUCAUUCAAUCACAAUGUGUAUGUUAGUUUAUAUAUUCAGAUUUUCAAAUGCGGGAUUUCACAUAUUGCACAACAAACUUCACUUAGGCAAUUUAUCGAACAUGUUGUGUGCAAUAUAUUCAACUCCAUUCUAUUAAUACUUGGCAAAGUGUAAUAACCCUCAAUGCAUAAACACAAAUCAAUGCCAUAAACCAAGCCUACUUACACCCUUUCAACUCGAUUCCCAAUUGUAAAUUGUGAGUAAUUACAAACCAAAGUCUAAAUGAGGAGAAGGAAUAAAGCUCAUACCUUUUUCGCCUUGGGUUUUUCCGAUAAAUUCGUG